ACCUCAAGAUGAAGUCUUCAAGAUUACUCACACGAGGAAGGCGAAGAACGCCGAUGGUACGGACCAAUGGAUUGAGAGACGACGUAGGUCACAAGACAACGUAGUUCAUGCUCUUGUUUAUGAGGAUAGUGGGAAGGAAUCGGAUCAUGUCUCUAACACCCAACAAAGUAGUUUAUGGUUGUUUAACUUUACGAUGUUUAAGUGUUUGAAUGUAGUUUUAAGGAUAUUUAGAAGUACUUUAAAUUGAAACUUGAGGUUGAAUUUGAUUUUAGAAUGUGAAGUUUAUGAUUGUAGAAGUACUUUGAUGAAUUGGACGUGUUGAUGAAUUGCAUUGUUGAUUUGGUUGA